CCCCACACAUACAAUUAUCUGUAAGGUCCCUCAUCUCUGUACCCCCACACAUACAAUUAUCUGUAAGGUCCCUCAUCUCUGUACCCCCACACAUACAAUUAUCUGUAAGGUCCCUCAUCUCUGUACCCCCACACAUACAAUUAUCUGUAAGGUCCCUCAUCUCUGUACCCCACACAUACAAUUAUCUGUAAGGUCCCUCAUCUCUGUACCCCACACAUACAAUUAUCUGUAAGGUCCCUCAUCUCUGUACCCCACACAUACAAUUAUCUGUAAGGUCCCUCAUCUCUGUACCCCACACAUACAAUUAUCUGUAAGGUCCCUCAUCUCUGUACCCCACACAUACAAUUAUCUGUAAGGUCCCUCAUCUCUGUACCCCACACAUACAAUUAUCUGUAAGGUCCCUCAUCUCUGUACUCCACACAUACAAUUAUCUGUAAGGUCCCUCAUCUCUGUACUCCACACAUACAAUUAUCUGUAAGGUCCCUCAUCUCUGUACCCCACACAUACAA